UUGGUUUGGUUUUGGGUUUUUUUGUUUUGUUUUGUUUUCUUUUUGGUUUUUUUUUUUUUAUUUUCUACAAUUUUUCUUCAUGGAGUGAUUUGGAGUUUAGAUUUGUUUUAUCCUGUAUUUCAGCGCUUCUGUCUGUAAAGCCUCAUGCAUUCAAGCUGGUUGAAAGAACUUGUACAGAGAGGAAUCCAAACCAGUAAAUCUUAAUGCUUUAGCAUGCACCUCUUUGAAGUUCAAUAAAUCGAACAAAUGGCUUCAGCAAAAUGCAUGUUCAAGAGACCCUGCACACUUCUGGAGCCUGCUGAGCGCCUGCAUCCCAUGUGCAUGCCCUGCCCUGGAGCCAAGCACGUGCUUGGAAUACAGCCUUGCCCUUCUCACCCACCUGUGCAUGCUGGAAACCUCCCCUGCCCACCAGUUGUUCUCCUGUAACCAGCUGCCACAUGGUGAGGCUGGAAUCUAAUAAAGCUUUCCCUGUCUUCCUCGUC